rnacentral:rRNA from 1 species
CCGGAUGCCGAUCUCGAAAACCUGUCCUAGUUCGGACUGGAGUCUGCAACCCGACUCCACGAAGUUGGAUUCGCUAGUAAUCGCGCAUCAGCCAUGGCGCGGUGAAUACGUUCCCGGGCCCUGUACACACCGCCCGUCAAGCCAUGGGAGCCGGGGGGCGCCUGAAGUCCGGGACCGCGAGGACCGGCCUAGGGCGAAACUGGUAACUGGGGCUAAGUCGUAACAAGGUAGC